rnacentral:rRNA from 1 species
GAUGAACGCUGGCGGCGUGCCUAAUACAUGCAAGUCGAGCGAACAGACGAGGAGCUUGCUCCUCUGACGUUAGCGGCGGACGGGUGAGUAACACGUGGAUAACCUACCUAUAAGACUGGUAUAACUUCGGGAAACCGGAGCUAAUACCGGAUAAUAUAUUGAACCGCAUGGUUCAAUAGUGAAAGACGGUUUUGCUGUCACUUAUAGAUGGAUCCGCGCCGCAUUAGCUAGUUGGUAAGGUAACGGCUUACCAAGGCGACGAUGCGUAGCCGAACUGAGAGGGUGAUCGGCCACACUGGAACUGAGACACGGUCCAGACGCCUACGGGAGGCAGCAGUAGGGAAUCUUCCGCAAUGGGCGAAAGCUUGACGGAGCAACGCCGCGUGAGUGAUGAAGGUCUUCGGAUCGUAAAACUCUGUUAUGAGGGAAGAACAAAUGUGUAAGUAACUAUGCACGUAUUGACGGUACCUAAUCAGAAAGCAACGGCUAACUACGUG